rnacentral:rRNA from 1 species
UACAGAGGUCUCAAGCGUUGUUCGGAUUCAUUGGACGUAAAGGGUGCGUAGGCGGCGUGGAAAGUUGAGUGUGAAAUCCUAGGGCUUAACCUUAGGAAUGCACUCAAUACUCCCAUGCUAGAGGAAUGUAGAGGAGAGUGGAAUUCACGGUGUAGCAGUGAAAUGCGUAGAUAUCGUGAGGAAGACCAGUUGCGAAGGCGACUCUCUGGGCAUUUCCUGACGCUGAGGCACGAAGGCCAGGGGAGCAAACGGG